AUUGAACGCUGGCGGCAUGCUUUACACAUGCAAGUCGAACGGUAACAGGCCUUCAGGUGCUGACGAGUGGCGAACGGGUGAGUAAUGCAUCGGAACGUGCCCAGAGGUGGGGAUAACGCAGCGAAAGCUGUGCUAAUACCGCAUGUGAUCUGAGGAUGAAAGCGGGGGACCAGGCAGCAAUGUUUGGCCUCGCGCCUUUGGAGCGGCCGAUGUCAGAUUAGGUAGUUGGUGGGGUAAAGGCCUACCAAGCCGACGAUCUGUAGCUGGUCUGAGAGGACGACCAGCCACACUGGGACUGAGACACGGCCCAGACUCCUACGGGAGGCAGCAGUGGGGAAUUUUGGACAAUGGGCGCAAGCCUGAUCCAGCAAUGCCGCGUGCGGGAAGAAGGCCUUCGGGUUGUAAACCGCUUUUGUACGGAACGAAAAGGCUCUGGCUAUACCUGGGGCUGAUGACGGUACCGUAAGAAUAAGCACCGGCUAACUACGUG
rnacentral:rRNA from 1 species